rnacentral:rRNA from 1 species
AGUGAACGCUGGCGGUAGGCCUAACACAUGCAAGUCGAACGGCAGCACAGAGGAGCUUGCUCCUUGGGUGGCGAGUGGCGGACGGGUGAGGAAUACAUCGGAAUCUACUUUUUCGUGGGGGAUAACGUAGGGAAACUUACGCUAAUACCGCAUACGACCUACGGGUGAAAGCAGGAGACCUUCGGGCCUUGCGCGAUUGAAUGAGCCGAUGUCGGAUUAGCUAGUUGGCGGGGUAAAGGCCCACCAAGGCGACGAUCCGUAGCUGGUCUGAGAGGAUGGUCAGCCACACUGGAACUGAGACACGGUCCAGACUCCUACGGGAGGCAGCAGUGGGGAAUAUUGGACAAUGGGCGCAAGCCUGAUCCAGCCAUACCGCGUGGGUGAAGAAGGCCUUCGGGUUGUAAAGCCCUUUUGUUGGGAAAGAAAUCCAGCCGGCUAAUACCUGGUUGGGAUGACGGUACCCAAAGAAUAAGCACCGGCUAACUUCGUGCCAGCCGCCGCGGUAA